rnacentral:rRNA from 1 species
GUGGAUUAGAUACCCUGGUAGUCCACGCUGUAAACGAUCGAUACUAGGUGUGCGGGGACUGACCCCCUGCGUGCCGCAGUUAACACAAUAAGUAUCGCACCUGGGGAGUACGAUCGCAAGGUUGAAACUCAAAGGAAUUGACGGGGGCCCGCACAAGCGGUGGAUUAUGUGGUUUAAUUCGAAGCAACGCGAAGAACCUUACCAGGGCUUGACAUCCUACUAACGAAGUAGAGAUACAUUAGGUGCCCUUCGGGGAAAGUAGAGACAGGUGGUGCAUGGUCGUCGUCAACU